AUUUAGAGGAAGUAAAAGUNGUAACAAGGUUUCCGUAGGUGAACCUGCGGAAGGAUCAUUACAGAAUAAAUUUGAUAGGUUGUUGCUGGCUCUAAAAUACUGAGCAAGUGCACGCUUGUCAUUUUUGUCUUUCCACCAUGUGCACUGUGCAUAGGAACAUUAUUUGAUCAAAGGCAACUUUGUUCACUGGGACUUGCUGUCUGACAGCUCUUCCUGCAGUUCCUAUGAUUUUAUAUAUACACCUGUUUAUGUUACAGAACGUCUAGUGGGGUCUGAAAAGCCCUAUAAAACUAUAAUACAACUUUCAGCAACGGAUCUCUUGGCUCUCGCAUCGAUGAAGAACGCAGCGAAAUGCGAUAAGUAAUGUGAAUUGCAGAAUUCAGUGAAUCAUCGAAUCUUUGAACGCACCUUGCGCUCCUUGGUAUUCCGAGGAGCAUGCCUGUUUGAGUGUCAUUAUAUUCUCAAUCUUCACAACUUNUGUUGAUUGGAUGUGGAGGUUUAUGUGGGUGCUUUUACAAGUCCCACUCCUCUGAAAUAUAUUAGCUGGAAUGCCUUUGCAAAGCCAACUAUCAGUGUGAUAAUUAUCUAUGCUGGAGUUGCUGCAUAUAGGGAAUCGCUUCUCAACNGUCCUUUGGACAAUAUGAACCAUUUUGACCUCAAAUCAGGUAGGACUACCCGCUGAACUUAAGCAUAUCAAUAAGCGGAGGAAAAGAAACUAACAAGGAUUCCCCUAGUAACUGCGAGUGAAGCGGGAAAAGCUCAAAUUUAAAAUCUGGCGGUCUCAGGCCGUCCGAGUUGUAAUCUAGAGAAGUGUUAUCC
rnacentral:rRNA from 1 species